rnacentral:lncRNA from 1 species
GGAAUUUCCAAACUGGUUGUUGAAUGGGGAGAAUAUUUGUAAUGGAGGAAAGGUCUUUAAGACGCAGAUUUCCCAAACCAGAGCCAGUCAGAGCCUUUAUUUGUGCUGCCCAGGCUCCAGAAUCUAAAACGUUCUCUUCCUUUGGGUGUUUCUUCCACCCAGGAUGCCAAACCUUUAUCUUCCCCACCGCCUAGGACACACUUGGUGGCUGAGCCUUUUUCUCUGAGACCCAGACGGUGCUGAGCAGGAAAUCUUGUCCUCCCCAGAGGGCCAGCAUAGACACUGUCCAAAGAGCCCCUGCUCUACUGUAGCAGGAACAGGAAAUGGGCCAUCUCCCUCGUCGCUGCCAUCUCCCUGAUGACACUCAGAAA